GGUCUGAUCGUAUAACGGUUAGUACACAAGAUUCUGAUUCUUGUAAUCUGGGUUCGAUUCCCAGUCGGACCUGA